CAAAAAUAUUAUAUUUUUUCUAUAAAAAAAAAAUGGAAAAAAAUUA
rfam:Gorilla gorilla gorilla genomic chromosome, chr6, whole genome shotgun sequence